rnacentral:rRNA from 1 species
CCGGGGUUGCCUUAGUACGGCGAGUGAAGCGGCAAAAGCUCAAAUUUGAAAUCUGGUACCUUCGGUGCCCGAGUUGUAAUUUGGAGAGGGCAACUUUGGGGCCGUUCCUUGUCUAUGUUCCUUGGAACAGGACGUCAUAGAGGGUGAGAAUCCCGUGUGGCGAGGAGUGCGGUUCUUUGUAAAGUGCCUUCGAAGAGUCGAGUUGUUUGGGAAUGCAGCUCUAAGUGGGUGGUAAAUUCCAUCUAAAGCUAAAUAUUGGCGAGAGACCGAUAGCGAACAAGUACAGUGAUGGAAAGAUGAAAAGAACUUUGAAAAGAGAGUGAAAAAGUACGUGAAAUUGUUGAAAGGGAAGGGCAUUUGAUCAGACAUGGUGUUUUGUGCCCUCUGCUCCUUGUGGGUAGGGGAAUCUCGCAUUUCACUGGGCCAGCAUCAGUUUUGGUGGCAGGAUAAAUCCAUAGGAAUGUAGCUUGCCUCGGUAAGUAUUAUAGCCUGUGGGAAUACUGCCAGCUGGGACUGAGGACUGCGACGUAAGUCAAGGAUGCUGGCAUAAUGGUUAUAUGCCGCCCGUCUUGAACCAACAAACAGCA